rnacentral:rRNA from 1 species
UACGUAGGGUGCGAGCGUUAAUCGGAAUUACUGGGCGUAAAGCGUGCGCAGGCGGUUCGUUGUGUCCGUCGUGAAAGCCCCGGGCUUAACCUGGGAACUGCGAUGGAAACUAGCGAGCUGGAGUGUGGCAGAGGGGUGGGAAUUCCGCGUGUAGCAGUGAAAUGCGUAGAGAUGUGGAGGAACACCGAUGGCGAAGGCAGCCCCUGGGAUAAGACUGACGCUCAUGUACGAAAGCGUGGGGAGCAAACAGG